AGUUGGAGAAACUAAGGUUGCUCAUAAUUAUCUCGAGUUACAAUCAGCAUAAGAACUUUAAGGAAAUGGUGAUAUCUGCUGAAUCUGAGGAUCUCAUGAAGGAUCUCCUUCAUUUCCUAGAUACUCAUGCUUCACAUCUACCACUUCAUGCAUUGUAUCAUCCAGGUCUAGGUGAUGAGAUGAGAGCAUUUACAAUUGACAAUGUUCCAUCAAGGACAACCAUGGAGCAGCUGCUACAAGAUUUUUGUACUAAUUAUUAAUGCUUUGUUGUCUCUCUAAAGCAACCUGUCUAUGAACAAAUGGAUCAUUAUGACUAAUUACACAAAUGGGGAAGA